CACGUAGGGUGCGAGCGUUGUCCGGAAUUAUUGGGCGUAAAGAGCUCGUAGGCGGUGUGUCGCGUCGGCCGUGAAAACCUGCAGCUUAACUGUGGGCUUGCGGUCGAUACGGGCAUCACUGGAGUUCGGCAGGGGAGACUGGAAUUCCUGGUGUAGCGGUGAAAUGCGCAGAUAUCAGGAGGAACACCGGUGGCGAAGGCGGGUCUCUGGGCCGAUACUGACGCUGAGGAGCGAAAGCGUGGGGAGCGAACAGGAUAGAAACCCUGGUA
rnacentral:rRNA from 1 species